GAUGAGAGCCGCUGCCCGCUGAAGGCACGGGAGGGGAAAAACUUGAAAAAUCGGCAUUAAACCGCGAGAAGGGAAAGAGAAGGCCAGUGCGCUUACCUAUUAAGAGUCCAGGGCCGAGUGACCGAAUGAAGGAGACUAGUUACGUUGGCUAACCACUUAUUUACAUCUGUGAGCCGCUGCAAACCCCGACGCCGGCGUGCUGAGCUUUGAAACCCAGAGCAACGGUCAGAUUUUUGAGAGGAAUGGGGAAAAUUCGAGGACCAGGACGUGAUCCCAAUUGUAUUAGAUGGCGAGCCAGGAUCUUUGAAGAAAAGACGCGGGUAUGAAAUAUGACAGAAGGCAACAGGUUCCAGUGGACAGAUGAAGAGUUUAAAAGUUAACUUUAUCUAAUUAAAGGAAACACUUAACAGUGAUUUUGGACCAGUGGUUGUAGAACUGGUCCAGCACAGAUCCCUGACCUCAGCUUCAUAUCUCUGGUGUCACGAUUGGCCCCUUCCAGUCCAGUCUAUGUGCGUUUGUUUUGGUUUGGCCCAUGUGUAUUUGUUUUGGUUUUUA